UUUUUUUUUUGUUGAACCACUUCAGACUGUUGUCAGGCUUGGGUUCCUCAAUAUAUCCAGCUCAUCGAUUUAGCUCUGGAUGUUUGUUGUAAGGGCUUUGCUACGUGUGUUAUCAUAACACAAACAGUUAAGAGACAGCUUGUAGACAGCUUCAUUAGAAAUUUCUUACCCAGAAUCAAAGAUUUUACAUCCUUGGCCUGGAUGUGAACCUUGAAAAGUCACCUGAAAUUGCAUAGGCAAAUUCAUCAGAUUCAGAUGUGAGCACCAACUCUGUCUUUCUAUCAUGAAAUUCUGGUAGCUACAUCAUGCAUAUUUGAUUUCAUUUUCAAUCAUUGUUUUUACUUAUGCAAUAUGUUUGAUCAGUAUAUUAUUUAGUCAUUG